UGAUACAUUGAAGGGGAGCUUUAAUCGGCUGAGAGUAGAUGCGUUCUAGACCCAUAACCUGAUUUGGAUAAUGCCAACGUAGGGAAAAUGAUUUAUUGCGCA
rnacentral:ncRNA from 2 species